rnacentral:rRNA from 1 species
GCAAAACUCAACUUUUUUAUUAUAGACUUUAAAAAAAAUUUUUAAUACACAAAAGUAUUUUUAAAAAAUUCUUUAACCCAAUCAACCGCAAGGACUAAUACUCAGCUUUUCUAAGAAAUGAUAAUAUCAUGUCCCUUUUGCAUAAUGGAGAAGCAACAAAACCCUAUUAAAAUAAAUUCCCGAAUGAUUACGAGCUACUAACCCUUAAAAACCAAUGUUUCAUAAUUGGUAAAGUAACUUUUAGUAGAAGUAACAAGCCUUUCAUGUAGUCAUAUAGCUGGUUUUUCUUUAAAAGCAUCAAAGUGCUGGCUUAUAAAACAAACUAAGUGUUUUAAUUAUAAAGCUUAACCUGUCGAGGAUUAGCUCAACAGGUAUCCAAAAAUACAUUAUUCUUCAACCUAAUUAGUAGGCCUAAAAGCAGCCACCUAAUAACGUUUUAGCUACCUAAAUAUUCUAUCAAAUAUUCAUAUUUUUCAUUUUUAAAUUAAAGAAAUUUAACUCAAAACUUUUUUGUUAUUAAACAGGCAUUCUAUUAGUAUUAAACGUAAACUACUACCCAAAACCUUAAAAAAAUUUGGAUCAAAUCAAUCCCCUUCACACUAAAAUAUACAAAGAGAACUCGGCAAAUUAGUUCCCUGCCUGUUUACCAAAAACAUCGUCUUCUGAAAACCCAUAAUAGAAGAUAAUGCCUGCCCAGUGAAAUUUUAAACGGCCGCGUUAGCGUGAGCGUGCUAAGGUAGCGUAAUAAUUAGCCUUUUAAUUGAAGGCCAGUGAAUGGCAAGACUAGGAACACCUUUACUCUGUAUAUGAAAAAAACUUCUUAUCUAAGCGAAAAAACUUAGAUAAUAAAGGUAGACGAAAAGACCCCGCGGAGCUUUACCUUUUCUCAUACUACUGUAUAUUUCCUAUAAGUAUUUAAGGUUUGAUUGGGGCAAUCUUGGAACCAAUAAAGCUUCCAACCUUUAAAAAUCCUAUAUAAAAUUUAUUAAGGACCAAAAAGAAGCUACCCCGGGGAUAACAGCGUAAUUCAACUUGAGAGUACAUAUCGAAAGUUGGGUUUGCGACCUCGAUGUUGGCUUAAGGACAUCCACAUAAGUGCAACCGCUAUGACAGGAUAGUCUGUUCGACUAUUAUACCCUUACACGAGCUGAGUUAAGACCGGCGCAAGCUAGGUUGGUUUCUAUCUCCUUUAAUUAAAAAUCUUCUUAAUUGUACGAAAGGACCCUAAGAGUUGCACCUAAAAGCACUUUUAUUAAACUAAUUUUGUUUCAC